UUUAACCGAGCAUUUACAUAUUUAGAAAAUACAGAUUGAGAACAGGUAUUUUUAAAUUAUAUAUAAAGUCUGGACUUAACAUUUCUUAGAUGUGUCAACAACCAAGGGUUUGUUAGAGAUAGACGGGUAGAACAUCGGAACACAAGAGUUAAAAAUGAAUUGCAGAAAUUUUGCAAAUUGCAAAAAUAUUUAUGGCAUCAGCCAUUAUGUUGCAAGAAUAAGGAUCGAACCAAUUAAAGCCAGAAAGCCUUACGAAAACAAGGCACGGAUCAGGAAAACCUCUAGGCUUCCGACUCAGAGGAUUUGGUUGACCGAUUCUUAUGUAUAUAGAUACAUACAUAUAUACAUAUGCCGGCUAGCCCGCGAGAACAACAUGCGCUCGUUAUACCAGCAGAUUGCACGGAUUGCCCACCACAGACGGAAGCAGCCAUUCAGAGACCUAGAAGGCAACCACUUAUCCAAUGAUGAUGCACAGAUCCGGAGGUGGCGCCAACACUUCAUGGGAAUAAGCCACACCACAUCACCAAAUGUGGCUACGGAGUAUAGAAGCAUUGCGCCACCAAGUGGGAAUACCAGUAUACCCUCUACACCCCCGCAUAUAAGAGAGAUUGUUAAUGCAAUAAAAAAGCUAAAGCGCAACAGGGCAGCCGGCGAGGACAACAUACCAGCCGAACUGCUUCAAGUUGACACUCAGCUGAUGGCUGAUACGCUGCAUCCACAUUUCGCACGCAUAUGGGAAGGCGAGACUGUGCCUGACUCCUGGAAAAGCGGAAUCAUCGUGAAGCUCCCCAAGAUAGGCAGUCAGCGACUGCAACUACUGGAGAGGGAUAACACUGCUCAACACCAGCUAUAAAAUCCUAGCUACACUGCUUAACGGACGAAUCCAAGAAAAAUUCGAGCCAACAAUCCGAGACGAACAGGCAGGCUUCAGACCACACAGGAGUUGCGAAGAUACGCAUAAUUACCGAGCAAGCUGUGGAAUAGAGAGCCCCGCUUUACCUCCUGUUUAUUGACCAGGAUACUCUCUACACCCCCGCAUAUAAGAGAGAUUGUGAAUGCAAUAAAAAAGCUAAAGAAGGCGUUCGACUCAGUUGAAAGGGCAGCAAUGUGGCGAUCACUUGCUAGGAAAGGAGUACCUGCGAACCUCAUCGCUAUCAUCAAAUCGAUGUAGGACGAUGCCAACUUGGCGGUACUGCACAACGGGAAAACAAGUGAACCUUACCAGACGAGCACCGGAAUUCGAAAAGGAUGCCCGCUAUCACCUCUACUCUUCAACAUCGUGGUCGACGAGUUAAUGAGCGAAGCAUGCUCGUCCAAGCGCGGAAUUACGUGAAGCCUCACCAGACACCUUGAGGACUUGGACUAUGCUGACGACAUUUGUCCCGGCAUAGACUCGGCGACAUACAGAGGAAAAGUGAUAACCUCGUCAGGAUAGGCAGCAGCGUCGGACUCGAGAUAAACGUAGCAAAAACAAAAGCUAUGCGAUUCAACCACUUCAACCAAGGAAACAGCAUCAUACAUGGGAACCUAAUCGAGUUCGUCAACAGUUUCCCAUACCUUGGCACCAUCAUAUCCAACAGUGGAGGAUUGGAUGAUGAUGUCUCGAGUUGUCUUGGCAAAGCCCGCUCAGCAUUUGGGAGACUAUACCGCAUUUGCAGAAACAGACAAAUAAGCCGACGAACAAAUCUCCGGAUCUACAAUGCGUGUGUGAAAUCCAUACUGCUAUAUGGAAGUGAGACAUGGCUCGCAACGAAAAAAAUAACGCAGAAACUGCAGGUUUUCAGCAACAAAUGCCUGAGAAUCAAAUUGGGGAUAUUCUGGCCAAACAGAAUAGCCAACACAGAGAUGUGGCGCGUUACAAGCGAGCCCCCGAUACACACCCAAAUAAGGAAGAAGAACUGGAUGUGGAUAGGGCACGCUCUCAGGAGAAACUCUAGUAGCAUAGUAAGAAUGGCACUGGACUGGAACCCCCAAGGAAGGUAGGAAGGCCAAGAGCAACAUGGAGAAGAACCGCUCACCAAGAACUUGCCCAAAUAAACAUCACAUGGGAAAAUGCUAAACAGACAGCACAAAACAGAGUUAGAUGGAAGGCUCUCGUAGAAGCCCUAAGUUUUCGAAAGAAAUAAGAAGGAAUUAAAAAAAAAAAAUAUAUAUAUAUAUAGCAUUAAGAAUGCAUUAUGUGCAUUUUAUAUAGCAUUAAAAAUUAUACGUAUCUUAAAUAUGAGUUCAAUAAAAUAAGUAAAAUUAUGACAGAGGUGAUAAGUUAAGUGUAAUGUUCUUUUCGGAAAUCAUUACAAUUAUUUUGACUCCAAGACUCCAGCGACAAGUUUGUUGACCUACGUUGCCACGCCCACUCUAACGCCAAAAACUGUCAGUGUAGAAAUGUCUGCUUCGCACGGCCACUAGCUAAGUAACGGGUAUCAGAUAGUCGGAGAACUCGACUAUAGCAUUUUUCUUUUGUUGUUCUUUCGUUUUCUGAAUUGUGUUUUGUAGUAGUGAGUAACUAUAUUUCUAUUAGUCAUUGGUCAGAGUCUGUCAGCUCCAUAUUUUUGGUUAGUUUAAAUGGAUUUUCUAAUUUGACUUUAUCUAGUGGGCCUUUUUUGUAUCUAGUGUCGACUUCAUAUUCCGUUCUGCCGUUAUUUAUUUGGUUUAUUAUGUUUUCUAUUUGGAAACAACCAGCUCAGUGUCUGAUGGUCACUAGAUAUUUCAAAGUGUCUUCCAAGUAAGUAGUGUUGAAAAGUCUUUGUCGCCCAAACAAUUGCUAAGAGAUCCUUUUCAAUUGUGCUGUAGUUUGUUUCAUGUUCAUGUUCGAGUGUCCCUCUUGUGAGAGUACUGCUUUAGGUGCAUCCCUUGCGUUGGCGGUUAAUGUAAAUUUUUUUUGUAAAGUCAGGUACUUUAAGAAUUGGAUCCUCUGAUAUUACUUAUUUUAAUUUUUUGAAUGGCGAGUCAUAUUCUGGGUAGCUGGUGUCAAUUUUUUGUUCUUUUUUUAAAAAACACUUUGUCAUGGGUCUGCAAAGUUUGGAAUGAACUUACGGGAAAAGCCCGAGAAAAGCCUUUUUUUAGUUUAGUGGGAAUCGGAUAUCAGUUUUUCGAAAACUAGUCCAAGCGAUUGUAGGUUCUCUUCCAUGAAUGCCGAAAACACAAUUAUGACGCCCAAGUACAGGAGACAAUGCUAAUUUAAAAAAAAAGUCGCCAAAUAUGAUUCAUGCACCGUUGAAAGGUAGCUGGUGUGUUUUUAAUCCAAAUGGCAUACGCAAGUAAUCAUAUUGACCGUGCUUGGUGUAAAAGGCUGUUUUUAAAACUAAAUCUGCAUCCAUUUCAUACUGGUGGACAUCCUUGGCCAGGCCUAUAUUUGUAAAGUAGUUGCAUCUGCCUAGUUUUCCUAAAAUUUCGUCAAUGUUUGGGAUUGGGUGUCUGUCUGUGAUAAAAUGUCAACUUAUCACCCUCGUGGUCCUAUAUGUCAUUGAUUUUCUUUUUUAUUUAGAUGUUCCAAUCUGUAUAGGUGAGAUCCUAAUAUGGGUGAAUUAUUUCUUGGUUGUCUGAGCAUAGUGUCAGGUGCCAUGCCUACAUCUUGAAAGUAACUCAAUUCUUGUGCUGUUUUGCCCUCAAUUUAUUUGUAUUUGUUUUUGUAAAGAGUCACCAGAUGAUCGUGGUAGCUUAUUGUUGUUUCCCUCUCCCAACAUAUUUCUUCUUGGUUUUCGUAGAAUGGGUGCAAUUAAAAUUCCGUUGGUGUUGGGAACAUAAUCUUUGAAGGUAUGGUUAUACUUUUAUUGACAAUAAGCGGUCCAUUUCUGGUAUGGUAUUCUGAAUUGGUAGGUCAAAAAUCUUUUGGUAUAUUAAGUUAACUGUGAGUUUUAUAUCAAUAAGACAUUUUCAAUUAUUUUCUUUGUAUUUACCAUAGUUGUUAUAUAUUGGGUUUUUUCAAAGCUGGUGAAAGCAAGGCACGUGAGCUAGACGGCUGUACUAAUCCUUUAGUGUGGCUAAUCAAUUAUGGGGUCCGUGACAUCUGAGCAAAUGCAACCUCCAGAAACAAUCCAGCCUAACCGAGUCUCUUGCAUUAUCGCCAAUCCUGGCAGACGCUUGACUUGACCGACGCACAGCAGUUCGUAAAAGAGACUUGCGCCAAUCAAUAAAUCUAUGCCUUGAGAACUAUGAAAAUCUGGGUCCGAAAGCUUAAGAUUUUAGGGGUAUAUUCAAGGUGCAAAUAUCAAUGUUAAAGUAGGGCUUACUCUGCUCAGUCCGUCUCAAACCUAGAAUUGCCUAUUCCGGUAACACGAGCUGAUGAUUUUGCAAUCUUAAGUUUAAGCUGAUUUGCGAUCCAGAGUCAAAGAUCCAUGGCAACGAAAAACAAUGAUUCCUGAAGGAAUUCUUAAAACUCUUGCAGUAAUGAAUUGAGUGCCCAGACGCUUUGAAAAGGUCGCAGGGUUGUGACUUGUGGCAAGAAGGGCGGACCUACCACGUAUGCCACGUUGGAAUUAAAUUCUUUAAGACCGACACCUCCCAUUCCGCCUGAUUUGUCGAAUCCAGCUUUUGAAGAAGUACUUGCAUUCAGCGAUCUGUUCCACUGAGCCCAUUCCACGAAGAGCGCGAGUAUGAGCGUUAAAUUUAUCGGACAGUUCACUAAGCAUUGAAAUUGAACCACUCUGCACUACCCUUAGCCACAGAAUUUUUAUAAUGUGUGCCAGAAAUCCCAAGCGACGAUUAGAAAAUCUGUUUUGUAAUAAAUCGAAUGCUAAAGCAUAGUUGCCAUCCGA